CAGAAAUAGCCAGCAUGGAUUCACCAAGAGGAAGCUGUGCCUGACCAACCUGAUAAGCUUCUAUAGUGAAAUCACUGGCUUCCUGGAUGGGGGGGAAAGUGAAUAUUUUCUUCCUGGAUUUCAGUAUGGUCUUUGACACCACCUCCAGUAAGAUCCUCUUAGAGAAGCUGUUGAAGUAUGGGCUGGAUGAGCAGAAAGCGAGGUGGACUGAAAAUGAGUUGAAUGGCCGGGCCCAGAGGGUAGUGGUGAGUGGUGCAGUCUGGCGGGAGGGCAGCAACAAGCAGAGUGUCCCAGGGCCAUUACUGGGUCCAGUCUGUUUCGCAUCUUUAACGAUCUGGAUGAUGGGACAGAGGGCACCCUCAUUAAUUCAUGGAUGGCACAGAACUGGGGGCAGUGUCCAACUCACCAGACGGCUGCGCAGUGCACACACUGCAGCCCUGCUUGCUCACCCUGGGGGCAGACAGCCACCAGCCCUUUGCCAUUAGUGGUUUAUAGCGCAAAACCAAACCUUUCCAUGCUCCAAAUCUGUGCUUAAAGCUGCUUUCAUUCCAGAGUUCUGACUUUGAUGAAUCCUCACCUGCAUUUACCUGUAUCAGUUUUUCAGACAUAAUGCCUGUUUGUGGAAUCAUCCUCAUGAGAAAGUAUUGCUACAAACGUGUCAACAAACUGAAAUGCCCAUAGACACUGCUACAGUCAGGUCUGAUCAUAAAACAUGAGUCACCAUUGUUUGAUCAUUUGCUAGCCCUCAUUUUACAAGUUGUCUCUCCUAGGAAUCAUCACCACGUACAUCUUAGAUUUCAUGCACCCCUUGCAUUUUUGCUUCUUGCUGCCCGAUGCUACGAGUGGGGGAAAGAUGCCCCAAAUGGGCACAAGCGGGAGCUCGCUCCAUUGUGGCAGCCAGCAGUUUGCAGGCAACAUGAAAGAAGCAAAGAAGUUCUGCUGCCCUCCUCUCUGGGUCAGCAGGGCGAUGCUCCCACCUCUCCCAGCCCCGUUCUCCAGGAGCACAGCAAACGCACUCACUGAACAUCGCAGCGCCAGUCCUCGGUGUCCACUUCAUAAACGUGACUUUCUGGAAGGCGUCUUCCAAGCAGCAUUGGAGCCGUGACCUCUCGCUGCCGUAAGGCAUACAGGGAGCUGGGUCCUUUCCAGACAUUCAAGCUGUAGAGUUUGGUCUUUCCUGUUUUUCUUGAAGAACUUUUGGGAGGUCAGAAACGUGUUCUUUGAGCUUUUGCCACCUUACAGAUGAAAGGCUGCUGGAAUCAUUAGGACGAAUUUCCUCUGUGCCAAAAGUUGCUCAUUUAAGUCAAAU
ensembl:lncRNA